CAUCACGCGCGAUUGGAUCUGAGGACUCUUCCCAGGUUCCUCCUCACCGAAUCAUCACGCGUCAACACAGCAAACGGUAAUUCACUUCCUAUUUCCUCCCAUCCAGAAAAACAACUAGAUCGCCGAUGGCCGCCCUGCACCUAUUCUUCCCCUGCAUCCCCGCCUCCAUUUUUCCCUGCAUCACGAGCGAAGUUCCCACCUCCCGCGGUAGCGCGCGCUCAUACGCAUCAAUCGGGAUCCAUCGCCAAAUGGGUGACCCGGAGUUGGAGAUGCGGCCGCGUUCAUCACCAAGCCGCAACUCUGACCCUCCAUAGCUAGCACGAGACAAGAUGAUUCCUUUAGACUACUGCUAGAUUGGACCCAAAGACUUAGCUGGACAGGGUCGAAGUACACGAAAAACGCACAUAGUUUAGAGAGUUCAACUACCAUGGUAGCAAUGGACUCAACUCUGCUGGAUUGCUACAUUUUACUUUAGUUGCAUUUGAUGGAUAUUUGAUAUGAGAAUUAUGAUUUGUAUGAACCUGCAUAUUAUACGUGUGGAUUUGAAUUUUGUAAUUCAAUGGUUGUAUUUUUUUAUGGUUGCGAUAAGCUGUUUCCACAACUCACUUUCUGUUGCCUUAGGUUAGCACCACGAAAAAUAUAGUGUUGCAUCAAAUCCUAGACGCCAUGACUACAUGCUUUGUUGCGCUAGGAUGUAGCAACGAAGAACUUUUUAUUGUUGCAAUAAAUUGUUACCACAUUUUUUAUGCAUGAUGUGAUAACUAUUUGGCACCACGGAAUAAAAAUUUGUUGAAAUAUAGUAUCGCCACAAAACCUUGAAAUUGUGGCGGUAACUUCUUGCUACAAACAUUUUGGACGCUGCAAAAAGUAUGUAACGCCACAAUUGUGAAUUUUGUUGAAACGGAGUAUCUCCACGAAAA